CAUAAGGAGCUCAGGAGCCCCGUCUGCCUGUGUUCCCAGGGAGAAAACCCUGGCAUUUAUUUAAUCCUUUCAGACUAAUCCAGGCAGUAUUUCCCCAGUGGCUUCAUUUGCAUAUGCACUAAUUGGAUUAUCUUUACCUAGUUGUGAUUAUUCAUUAGCCAAGUGAAUAAUUUUACAGCUCAAAGCACCUAAACGCAGGCACCCACGCCAGAUGCCAGCAUCUGCCUAAUUGAGGGCUGUUUUAUUUAUGUACACUUGAUGGGGUGGUCUUGUUUACAAAGUCAUCUUCAUUGUUUCAAUUGAGUGACAAGGCAAUCAGAGAGAAGAGAGAGGUCCUGGAGCAAGGAGCUCUGCACGAUCACUGGGAAGGGUCAAGGGUAUGUAGACUCCGAGCUUAGCAAUUGUGGUCCCCAUGGCAAUUCUGUGGAGCUGGAUCUCACCACAUUCCGAAUAAAGAGAAGGAAGUGAUUUCCCCUGUAUCUCAAGGCCAGUAAACAGGUAAAUUUUAUACAUUCUUACCACCUGUGCACCUGGCCGAGCCUCUCAAAGCAGGCUGCUAGCCAUCUCACCACAGACGGAACAAAACCACCGAGCACCCAAGAAGGUGAGAGCCAGGAGUCUCGGCUGAAAACUCCAGUGACACUUGGUCUGACUAUGUCCACUUACCUGGGUUUGGUGACCGUCCACAAUGUCAUCAUAAUCCUUGUCCCAGGAGCAAGGUGGCAAUUUCCCAGCACACUGUCAACAGGAAGUGCACCACCAUCUGUGGCUGCCCCCUCCUUCCAGCGAGAGCAGCACCUGCCUUCCACAGGAUACAGUCAUACUCAACGGCCUCUCCAUGGGCGAAUAACCAAGCUCUGUCGGAAAGCAUGGUUCCCAGAGGGGGUGCUUUGCUAAAUGCCGGUGAGCACCCCCAGUUGCCAGCUUCAG